rnacentral:rRNA from 1 species
CUUCACACGUCAUACAAUAGGUCGGUACAGAGGGUUGCCAACCGCGAGGGGGAGCUAAUCCCACAAAGCCGAUCGUAGUCCGGAUCGCAGUCUGCAACUCGACUGCGUGAAGUCGGAAUCGCUAGUAAUCGUGGAUCAGCAUGUCACGGUGAAUACGUUCCCGGGUCUU